AUGGCUGAGACGGUGGAGCUUGAGAACGAGGAAGAGCUUUCUCUUCUUUCACUUUCCGAUAACAGUGACCGGUCAUGGCGAUUGAACUUCGAGUCGUUUCAGUUUUCUUCGGAACACACCGAAAAGACGCCGAAACCCUCGCGUGGUAUCCAUGACUGUUAUGGUGUUCUUG